rnacentral:rRNA from 1 species
AGUGAACGCUGGCGGUAUGCCUAACACAUGCAAGUCGAACGGCAGCACAGUAAGAGCUUGCUCUUACGGGUGGCGAGUGGCGGACGGGUGAGGAAUACAUCGGAAUCUACUUUUUCGUGGGGGAUAACGUAGGGAAGCUUACGCUAAUACCGCAUACGACCUACGGGUGAAAGCAGGGGAUCUUCGGACCUUGCGCGAUUGAAUGAGCCGAUGUCGGAUUAGCUAGUUGGCGGGGUAAAGGCCCACCAAGGCGACGAUCCGUAGCUGGUCUGAGAGGAUGAUCAGCCACACUGGAACUGAGACACGGUCCAGACUCCUACGGGAGGCAGCAGUGGGGAAUAUUGGACAAUGGGCGCAAGCCUGAUGCAGCAAUACCGCGUGAGUGAAGAAGGCCUUCGGGUUGUAAAGCCCUUUUGUUGGGAAAGAAAAGCAGCAGGUUAAUACCCGGCUGUUCUGACGGUACCCAAAGAAUAAGCACCGGCUAACUUCGUG